GUAGGUGAACCUGCGGAAGGAUCAUUACAAAUUAGUUGUGGAUUUUGGGUGGUGAAGUGUGAAUACAUUGCGCGCUACUCAUUGUCCAUUAUAGCCCACUCCUGAAAGGGAGAUGGACGCGCUAGUGCUAGUUCGCUGGCGCAAAUAGACCUUAAAUCAUGACUUAUUCCAAAAAGAAAAUAACCAAAACUUUUAACAAUGGAUCUCUUGGCUCUU
rnacentral:misc_RNA from 1 species